rnacentral:tRNA from 1 species
GCCUUCGCCCGACUGGUCGGGCCCUGCCCCGGUACGGCAGGUCAGCGAGUUCGAGGCUCGCCGGAGGCUC